CAACCUGAGAGUUUGAUUCUGGCUCAGAACGAACGCUGGCGGAAGGCUUAACACAUGCAAGUCGAGCGCGCCCUUCGGGGUGAGCGGCAGACGGGUGAGUAACGCGUGGGAACGUACCUUUUGGUUCGGAAUAGCCCUUGGAAACGAGGAGUAAUGCCGAAUAAGCCCCUUGGGGGAAAGAUUUAUCGCCAAAAGAUCGGCCCGCGUUAGAUUAGCUUGUUGGUGAGGUAAAAGCUCACCAAGGCGACGAUCUAUAGCUGGUCUGAGAGGAUGAUCAGCCACACUGGGACUGAGACACGGCCCAGACUCCUACGGGAGGCAGCAGUGGGGAAUCUU
rnacentral:ncRNA from 1 species